rnacentral:rRNA from 1 species
AUUCCAGCUCCAAUAGCGUAUAUUAAUGUUGUUGCAGUUAAAAAGCUCGUAGUUGGAUUUCUGGAUUGAGCGGCUGGCCUUGCGCGCAAGCGUUCGUGUCGGCUUCGUUUCGGUCCAUCCUCAGGGGGACUUGCGCUGGCAUUAACGUGUCGGUGUUGGGACGCCUGUCGUUUACUGUGAACAAAUUAGAGUGUUCAAAGCAAGGUGUACUUGAAUACAUUAGCAUGGAAUAAUAAGAUAGGACUUUGGUGGUUCUUUUUGAUAUUUUGUUGGUUUGCACGCCAAAGUAAUGAUUAAUAGGAGCAGUUGGGGGUAUUCGUAUUCAAUUGUCAGAGGUGAAAUUCUUGGAUUUAUAGAAGACGAACUACUGCGAAAGCAUUUACCAAGGAUGUUUUCAUCA